UUUAAAGAGAGUUUGAUCCUGGCUCAGGACGAACGCUGGCGGCGUGCCUAAUACAUGCAAGUCGAACGAACGGAGGAAGAGCUUGCUCUUCCAAAGUUAGUGGCGGACGGGUGAGUAACACGUGGGCAACCUGCCUGUAAGUUGGGGAUAACUCCGGGAAACCGGGGCUAAUACCGAAUGAUAAAGUGUGGCGCAUGCCACGCUUUUGAAAGAUGGUUUCGGCUAUCGCUUACAGAUGGGCCCGCGGUGCAUUAGCUAGUUGGUAGGGUAAUGGCCUACCAAGGCAACGAUGCAUAGCCGACCUGAGAGGGUGAUCGGCCACACUGGGACUGAGACACGGCCCAGACUCCUACGGGAGGCAGCAGUAGGGAAUCUUCCGCAAUGGACGAAAGUCUGACGGAGCAACGCCGCGUGUAUGAAGAAGGUUUUCGGAUCGUAAAGUACUGUUGUUAGAGA
rnacentral:rRNA from 1 species